UCAUGACUCAGGACGAACGCUGGCGGCGUGCCUAAUACAUGCAAGUCGAGCGGACAGAAGGGAGCUUGCUCCCGGAUGUUAGCGGCGGACGGGUGAGUAACACGUGGGUAACCUGCCUGUAAGACUGGGAUAACUCCGGGAAACCGGAGCUAAUACCGGAUAGUUCCUUGAACCGCAUGGUUCAAGGAUGAAAGACGGUUUCGGCUGUCACUUACAGAUGGACCCGCGGCGCAUUAGCUAGUUGGUGGGGUAAUGGCUCACCAAGGCGACGAUGCGUAGCCGACCUGAGAGGGUGAUCGGCCACACUGGGACUGAGACACGGCCCAGACUCCUACGGGAGGCAGCAGUAGGGAAUCUUCCGCAAUGGACGAAAGUCUGACGGAGCAACGCCGCGUGAGUGAUGAAGGUUUUCGGAUCGUAAAGCUCUGUUGUUAGGGAAGAACAAGUGCGAGAGUAACUGCUCGCACCUUGACGGUACCUAACCAGAAAGCCACGGCUAACUACGUGCCAGCAGCCGCGGUAAUACGUAGGUGGCAAGCGUUGUCCGGAAUUAUUGGGCGUAAAGGGCUCGCAGGCGGUUUCUUAAGUCUGAUGUGAAAGCCCCCGGCUCAACCGGGGAGGGUCAUUGGAAACUGGGAAACUUGAGUGCAGAAGAGGAGAGUGGAAUUCCACGUGUAGCGGUGAAAUGCGUAGAGAUGUGGAGGAACACCAGUGGCGAAGGCGACUCUCUGGUCUGUAACUGACGCUGAGGAGCGAAAGCGUGGGGAGCGAACAGGAUUAGAUACCCUGGUAGUCCACGCCGUAAACGAUGAGUGCUAAGUGUUAGGGGGUUUCCGCCCCUUAGUGCUGCAGCUAACGCAUUAAGCA
rnacentral:rRNA from 1 species